rnacentral:lncRNA from 1 species
AAAUUUUUAUCUGGCAGCUAACAAUCGUCCUUUGUCUAUUGUGCAGACCUUUUGGACUAAAAAAGCCAGAAUUCCUAGGAAUUUACAGGUUAAUCCAUCGUUGAUACUAAGAAAUUAAGAGGCUAACCAUAUACUAAGGGUAAGAAGGUUAUAGACAGUUUAAUUUACAUGGUUAUGCAAAAAAAACUAUUUAAAACAUAUAUAAGAACAUGAAUAUAAAUAUUUUUGUGGGGAAAAUAUGGAAAUAAGAACUUACAUGAAGUAACUAGGAGAGAGGUUUCCCUUUCGGGAACCCCCUAAAGAUCGAAUAGAAAACUUGAAGCUUUUAUUUAAACCACGAUGUUACAAAGUUUAUACAAGAACGACUGGGUUAGACAAGUUUUUUGGGAGGAAAGGUUUAAACAUUUCAGG